GACCGCGUGCCCGAGUGGUUCAGGGGCUUGACUGCAACUCAAGUUACACCGGUUCGAAUCCGGUCGCGGUCU
rnacentral:tRNA from 1 species